UACGUAGGGUGCGAGCGUUAAUCGGAAUUACUGGGCGUAAAGUGUGCGCAGGCGGCCGAGCAAGUCGAGUGUGAAAGCCCCGGGCUUAACUUGGGAAUUGCGCUCGAAACUACUUGGCUAGAGUGUGGCAGAGGAAGGUGGAAUUCCACGUGUAGCGGUGAAAUGCGUAGAGAUGUGGAGGAACACCGAUGGCGAAGGCAGCCUUCUGGGCCAACACUGACGCUCAUGCACGAAAGCGUGGGGAGCAAACAGG
rnacentral:rRNA from 1 species